GUUUCUGCCCGUAGUUGUUUGCAGGGGCGCUGGCAUUGUUGAGUACAACCGUUGUCAUAGUUAUCAUGAAUUCCAAAUCCAAGUUUGUGUCUACAAUUUGUGAGGAAACGAACGUUUGAUUGAUGUUAGAUAGCUGGGGUUUGCAAGCUGUUAGUUGGUACUAAACAUGAUUUAUGUCAACGAUCGAACUUUGGACAGAAUAUAUUCUCUGAUUCUCCUGGCAGUCGUACUUCUGUCCUGGGGAUAUGUGAUCUACGGCACAAGAAUUGCAGCACAGUGGCAACUGGAUAAAAAACUGAAGAUGCAAAACUGAAUGCACAGUUCAACAAGAAGAUGAGUCUGAUAUCCAUUUACCCCUAAGGAGCCACAUUGUCUUGGGACUGCUGUGCUAUUAGCAGGACUUCAUUCAUGGGGUGACAAGAGCGGCUGUCUGGCAUUCGGAGGGUUGCCUGUUCGAUCCCCCGCCCUGGGCAUGUCGAAGUGUCCCUGAACAAGACACCUGACCCCUAAUUGCUCCCAACGAGCUGAUUGGUACCUUGCAUGGCAGCCUUUCACCGUUGGUGUGUGGGUGUGUGUGUGUGAAUGGGUGAAUGAGAGGCAUCAAUUGUAAAGCGCUUUGGAUGAAAGUGCUAUAUAAAUGCAGUCCAUUUACCAUUUACCAUUCCACAGAGAAACUUAGAAUAUGCUUUUUAAUCAAAAACAGUGCCAUGAAAAAGCAUUUGCCCUCUUCCAAAUUUCCUUUAUUAUAUUUGUCACACUGAUUUGUCACUCUGUUUCAGAUAUUUAUUCAAAAUGUAACAUCAGACGAAGGCACUUCGGGUAAACACAAAGCACAUUUAAAAAUUAUUUCAUUUAUUUAAUGAUAAAAGUUAUCAAACACCCAUAUCACCCAUGUGAAAAUGUAUAGCCUGAAUAUUCCAGGACUGUUUUUGCACGUGUUUUGAGAGUGUCCAGUGAUAAGCAUUUUUUGGAAACAUGUACAUGUAGUGAUAUCUGAACUGACCAAGAUCCACUUUAUAUCAACUCCCAGUCUGUUUACAGUAUGUAAUUACAGUUCAUACAGUCCUGUUUGGGUACAUAGUAGACCCACACAUACAGUAUCAUUAUGAAUACAGAUCGUCAGUUGGGAGAGUGAAAGAAGGUUUAAAUACAUCUUGUAUUUAUUGCUUAAAAGCAGAUGCAGCAUCAGUGGCUUGUUUUAAAAAAAAAUUUUUUUACCUGUGUAUGUGAUCCAGAACUGUCCUCUUUGCUUUGAUCUUUGUUUUUGCAUUCAGAGCUUUCCCCAUUUGCUCUUGGAAAUGGUAAUGAUAUGGGUAAUUGAAACACGCGAGGGUCUUUUGUGCGUACGCAUUUCAUUAACAUAAGCACUUCAAGGGAGCCUAGGAAAAGAGGACUAUUGUGUUUGUGUGCGGUUGAUGGUUUGCUGAAUGAUUAAAUAGAAACCUAUAGGGAAAUUUUCCAGGAAAUUUUCAACAGGUGCGUGACACCCCGUAGAAUUAUCGAAAAUAACAGUGUCACUCGUGGAAUCACAUACUCAACAAGAUAUGGGGACAUAUGUUGCUCCAGUCAAAAAUACAGUUUCAGAAAAUUCUAAAUCCUAACCGAUGGUGAAUUAAUGUGUCGGCUAUCCAUUUUGCUGAUCAUUUAGACAAACAGUCAUGAUUUAUUUUAUUUUAUUUUUGCAUGAUACUGUGGAUAUAUUUUUGAUCGGUUUUGUUAUUUAUUACUUUAUUUAUUUGUACUUUGUUUGUUUGUGUUCAUGCUGUACAUGCCUGCUGUAAAAUGCAAGGUCUGUAUAAUUUGCUGAUAUUUCUGUCUUGAAACGGAUGAUUGCUGGCACAUGCACAAACACACACACACACACACACACACACACACACACACACACACACAGCCUUAUUGUGGUUAACCCCUGGGGAGGAUUUCUCUAAACUCUUCAGUGGGAUCAGUACUGGGUCCGUUGUGUUGAUCCUGUAAUAUCAGUCCUGCUCAAUCACUUUGUGAGAGGACCGGAGGAAGCCUCUGUCCGUGUGAGGUGGGUGCUUAGCGAAGCCAGGCAUCAGCUGCGGCAGUCACAUCCCAUUCAGGGAGCAGGGAACAGUCGGGAACCGCUCCCGUCGCUACUGCAUUGAGAUAAUGAGUGACAACGGGCUCUCUUUCUUCACGGCUUGUGGCAAAACAAAACAGGCAGUGAAUUCCACUGAUUAGAACCAUCCCCCCUUACAUUAGCGUUUCUGUUUAUAAACUGGACCCUCCAUCCUAGAGACAAAAAUGCCCUUUCUCUCUUGGUAAGGAAUUGUUGUGAUUAUCACACUCCACAGUCCCAUUCAUUCAAUUAUGUUUCCCCCCCCUUGUGACUCAUCUGUGACAUAUUAAAGUGCUUUUUUUUUCCAACUGGGAAAGGCGGACUGUUGACAAUAAGCGGUUCCAAGGCAGCGAAAAAAAUCUUGCCUGAAGCAGGCACUCGUGUUGUGAAACACUGGGGGGAUUCGUGCUCAGGAUGUCUUCUGGGUGUUUCUGAGCAUGUCCUCUUCUCUCCUCCUCGUGUUCGGCCUGCUGUGCGUUAAUGAAGCCGAAAGAGACUCUGCUAUCCCGGGACCCCAGAGGUCCCAGAGGUCCCAGGUGUCGCAGAUGUCGAUCCCUCCUCAUGGUUUAACCCCAGUCCCCCUUUUUCGCCUGGGUAGCGAGCUUUCUGCCCAUCACACCAGGUGUUUCCGUCCUCCUCCACGAGUCCUAGUGGCCCUUAAACGGGAUUAGCUUGAUUAUGUUGUGUCGGUGCAUUAAGAGCUCAGUCUUACUUCAAGUGCAUGCCCGUGCUUUUUAAAAUUUUUUAUAUUUUUUUCAUUUUCGCCGAUGGUAAUUUUGACCAGAAUGUCAAUCCGCUUUGCAUUGCAGGGGCUGCACUCGUCCAUCUGAUGCCUGAGCUUUCUUUUAAGGGUUUAUUUAUUUUCCCCCUGCUUUAAAAUGACUUUAAAUGACUCAUUUAAACAGACUUCAGCGUUGGAACUGAUCAUUGAAACGAAGGCAUCGCCAUUUUGGCUCCUUUUUCAAAGAUGCCACUUCAGUUCCAUUUUAGAACACAAAGCCAUAACGUAUCAGUUCUAAAUAGUUAAAACCUCAUGACAAAGAUACUGUCUGAAUGGGCUUUCAAAGCUUGAAAGCACUGACCACCUGCAGAAGCACGUUUGCGCAUUCAAUUAAUCAUAAUUAAUGCACACCUGUCCCGGUUACAAGAUUAUUAUUGCAGUUCCCUGAAACUCCUGUUCUGACAUCCUUUUUUGGCUUAAUUUGACUUUGAGGAAAACAGAUAUCAACAAUGUAAAUAUUGUGGUACAAUUAUGUGUGAAAUAUGAUAUAAAACUUCACAUCACCUCAAGUAAAGCUUCAAAAUAAACAUUUUCUUGUUUUUCAGUUUGCCAAAUGAAUGUGUGUUCUAUAUAGAAGAAUGAAAUUAAACAGAAUAAUAAGUAA